rnacentral:rRNA from 1 species
GAUGAACGCUGGCGGCGUGCCUAAUAUAUGCAAGUCGAGCGAACGGACGAGAAGCUUGCUUCUCUGAUGUUAGCGGCGGACGGGUGAGUAACACGUGGAUAACCUACCUAUAAGACUGGGAUAACUUCGGGAAACCGGAGCUAAUACCGGAUAAUAUUUUGAACCGCAUGGUUCAAAAGUGAAAGACGGUCUUGCUGUCACUUAUAGAUGGAUCCGCGCUGCAUUAGCUAGUUGGUAAGGUAACGGCUUACCAAGGCAACGAUGCAUAGCCGACCUGAGAGGGUGAUCGGCCACACUGGAACUGAGACACGGUCCAGACUCCUACGGGAGGCAGCAGUAGGGAAUCUUCCGCAAUGGGCGAAAGCCUGACGGAGCAACGCCGCGUGAGUGAUGAAGGUCUUCGGAUCGUAAAACUCUGUUAUUAGGGAAGAACAUAUGUGUAAGUAACUGUGCACAUCUUGACGGUACCUAAUCAGAAAGCCACGGCCAACUACGUG